CGUUAGGUGAACUGCUCGUAUGUAAGUCGCUCUCAUACGCGUUGAAAUGGGGUGUCUUGUUGCUGGUUCGGAAACGCACAUCGUGGCACGGCUCCUGUGGUUGGAUGCAUUUUUCUCAACCCCUGUGCACCUUAUCGAAGUGACUAGUCUCUCUUUAUUUGUUGGCUGUAUGCUAGUACGUUAGUAAGGGGAACGCAUUCCUUGUGUUAGUAGUCUGAAGGCGGAAAGUGUCGGUAGUGUUCUUCUUGUUCACUUGGCCGGGGAGGAGAGAGGGUCGAAAGCUUUGACUUUCUGUUAAACACUAUGCAUGUCUUGUGGAAUGUAUUAGCUCCUUUGUGGGCGAAAUAAAUAUAACUUUCAACAACGGAUCUCUUGGCUCUCGCAUCGAUGAAGAACGCAGCGAAAUGCGAUAAGUAAUGUGAAUUGCAGAAUUCAGUGAAUCAUCGAAUCUUUGAACGCACCUUGCGCCCCUUGGUAUUCCGAGGGGCAUGCCUGUUUGAGUGUCAUGUUAAUCUCAAACCCCUUGUCUUUGUUGACUCGGUCGGUUUGGACUUGGAGGUGUUGCUGGUGUGUGUACUAGUACUACUAUGUCGGCUCCUCUUAAAUGCAUUAGCUGGACUUUGGUUCGCAUUGACGGUGUAAUAGUAAAGUGUUCGCCGGGUGCUUGCCUAACGGGUCAUGCUUGUAGUCGUCUCCGGUCAAGGUGGGGACUUUGACGCUUUUGCAUCUUUGACCUCAGAUCAAGUAGGACGUUCCACGCUGAA
rnacentral:rRNA from 1 species